UACGUAGGGUGCGAGCGUUAAUCGGAAUUACUGGGCGUAAAGCGUGCGCAGGCGGCUUCGCAAGUCAGGCGUGAAAUCCCCGGGCUUAACCUGGGAACUGCAUUUGUGACUGCAUCGCUGGAGUGCGGCAGAGGGGGAUGGAAUUCCGCGUGUAGCAGUGAAAUGCGUAGAUAUGCGGAGGAACACCGAUGGCGAAGGCAAUCCCCUGGGCCUGCACUGACGCUCAUGCACGAAAGCGUGGGGAGCAAACAGG
rnacentral:rRNA from 1 species